UGUAGCCCGUGUGCUCCUGCUGGCUCCUCUAGGCUCCCAGGGCAGCUCUUCUUCCCUGCCAUGGUGUUCGCCUCCUGAGAUUCGGCUUCUCUAACUCAGGACUCAGACUCAGCCCUCUCCCUCCUCUUGUCUCCCUUACCCUCCUGGGUAUCAGCUCAGAGCACAGCCCAGGCAUCAGUGAGAUCAUUACCUGGGAGCUCGGGAGCCUCGGACUUGUCAGAAGACCUGAGUUCAGCCUCUGCAUUAGCUGUGUGUUAUUGGGCUGAUUGCUUGGCUUCUCUAAAGCUUUGAGCUCCUCAUCUAUGAAAUGAG
rnacentral:lncRNA from 1 species